UUGGACCUAAAAUCAGGUAGGAUCUACCCGUCUGAAUCUUAGCCAUAUCAAUAAGCGGAGGAA
rnacentral:rRNA from 1 species